GAUGUACUAUUUGAAUGCAUACCCUAAACUUAGGAGGGUGUCGGGGGGUCAAAAUGUUUCUUCAAAGCUUACUUGGUACCAAUCACAUUAAUUGUGACGCCCAAUACGGACUCUUUGGAGAGGUCACGAAUAUGCAAGUCAUGAGACUCGAAAGAAAGAAAAGGAAAAUAAGAGUAAUUAUACAAAUAUACGUGGCCUAAAGGAAUGCAUCAUGUCGGGUACGGGUGAACUAAUGUUCGUGACUUUCAAUGUUCCCUUCAAUAGAGGGAAUACGAGCGUGCUAAGGCUAGAAAAGCCAAACUCGUCCAUAUCCCAUAUCCAAGGGAUUUCCCCUAGUCUAAUCAAGCAGAUGACCCUAUUGACUAGAAUGAAAAUGCAAAGUCCUAAAAUUGUAUUUCAAUUGCGGGAAAGGGGGUGAAGGCUCAUGUAAAAAUGUAAAACUAAAAAGGAAAAAUGAAUGAAGAUGUAAUGAAGGCAUGCAAGUAUGUGCUAGCGUGGGAGACGGCCCUAUUGGGUCUAGCAUUGGACUAGCCCUUAUUUCUACUUCCUCACUAGCAUUGGACUAGUGAGAAAUCGGACAAGGGAACCACAACUAGCAUUGG
rnacentral:lncRNA from 1 species